rnacentral:rRNA from 2 species
UUAAAUUGAAGAGUUUGAUCAUGGCUCAGAUUGAACGCUGGCGGCAGGCCUAACACAUGCAAGUCGAACGGUAACAGGAAGCAGCUUGCUGCUUCGCUGACGAGUGGCGGACGGGUGAGUAAUGUCUGGGAAACUGCCUGAUGGAGGGGGAUAACUACUGGAAACGGUAGCUAAUACCGCAUAACGUCGCA